GGGACUUGUGUGCUAGGAAAUAAAUUGCCUGCUGUAACUGCCCCAGGUGUGCCUGCCUACCAGACACCCGAUCUUGCAAGACCGCCAUUAAAAGUCUCGCUUCCGCUAUUCUUUGUGUCUCUGAGUACAUUGUUUGGGUUUGGACAGGUUGAACAAAUAGAAGUUUGGAAGAGGUCAUUAAUGAUACAUCCUGGGAAGGACCCUACGCAGUCAUUUUAUCUACCCCAACCACGGUUAAGGUGGCUAGAGUAGAGUCUUGGAUACAUCACACUCAAGUCAAACCCUAGAUACUGCCAAAGGAACCCAAAAAUCCAGGAGACAACGCUAACUAUUCCUGUGAACCUCUAGAGGAUCUGCACCUGCUCUUCAAACGACAACCAAGAGGAAAGUAACUAAAAUGGUAAAUCCCCCUGGCCCUCCCUUAUCAUAUUUUUCUCUUUACUGUUCUCUUACCCCCUUUCACUCUCACUGCACCCCCUCCAUGCCACUGUACCACCAAUAGCUCCCCUUACCAAGAGUUU
rnacentral:lncRNA from 1 species